AUUGAACGCUGGCGGCAGGCUUAACACAUGCAAGUCGAGCGGAGAUGAGGUGCUUGCACCUUAUCUUAGCGGCGGACGGGUGAGUAAUGCUUAGGAAUCUGCCUAUUAGUGGGGGACAACAUUUCGAAAGGAAUGCUAAUACCGCAUACGCCCUACGGGGAAAGCAGGGGAUCUUCGGACCUUGCGCUAAUAGAUGAGCCUAAGUCGGAUUAGCUAGUUGGUGGGGUAAAGGCCUACCAAGGCGACGAUCUGUAGCGGGUCUGAGAGGAUGAUCCGCCACACUGGGACUGAGACACGGCCCAGACUCCUACGGGAGGCAGCAGUGGGGAAUAUUGGACAAUGGGGGGAACCCUGAUCCAGCCAUGCCGCGUGUGUGAAGAAGGCCUUUGGUUGUAAAGCACUUUAAGCGAGGAGGAGGAGCUCUAGACUAACUCCGUGCCAGCA
rnacentral:rRNA from 1 species